rnacentral:rRNA from 1 species
CCCAGACUCCUACGGGAGGCAGCAGUGGGGGAUAUUGCACAAUGGGGGGAACCCUGAUGCAGCGACGCCGCGUGGGUGAAGGAGCGUUUCGGCGCGUAAAGCCCUAUCGGCAGGGAAGAAGGAGGACGGUACCUGACUAAGAAGCCCCGGCUAACUACGUGCCAGCAGCCGCGGUAAUACGUAGGGGGCAAGCGUUAUCCGGAUUUACUGGGUGUAAAGGGGGCGCAGACGGCAGCGCAAGCCAGGAGUGAAAGCCCGGGGCCCAACCCCGGGACUGCUCUUGGAACUGCGCGGCUGGAGUGCAGGAGGGGCAGGCGGAAUUCCUGGUGUAGCGGUGAAAUGCGUAGAUAUCAGGAGGAACACCGGCGGCGAAGGCGGCCUGCUGGACCGUGACUGACGUUGAGGCUCGAGAGCGUGGGGAGCAAACAGGAUUAGAUACCCGAGUA